AUGGCGUGGACGUGGCAUGCCCGCUAUGGGCAUCUAAGCUUCGACGCUCUGCACAAGCUGGCGCGGCAGGGCAUGGUGCAUGGCAUGCCUGUGGUCGAGCAGGCGGACCAGCUGUGCAACGCCUGCCUGGCCGGAAAGCAGCGGCGGUCAUUGUUCGCGCAGCAGGCGAAGUACCACGCACAGGAGCGGCUCAAGCUGGUGCACGGCGAUCUCUGCGACCCGAUCACGCCGGCGACACCGAGCGGGAAGAAGUACUUCCUCCUGCAGGUGGAUGAUGCAACACGGUACGUGUGGCUCGUGUUGCUGGCAUCAAAGGACAAAGUGGCCACGACGAUCAAGCAAGUAUACGCAAGCGCGGAGUCCGAGUCCGGACGCAAGCUGAAGACGCUGCGCAUGGAUCGCGGCGCCGAGUUGACGUCGGGUUCGUUUACAGCGUACUGCGCCUAG
rnacentral:rRNA from 1 species